ACUGCCAUCCCAUCCUGGCCUCAUCACCCACAACUGCCAUACCCUCUUGACCAUUAACCACCUCUACCUCGACCCUGCCACCAUGGCUUUGUCCAGAAGAAUGUCCAGUAGGUCUACUGGUAGUUCUCCCAGUCUAAUUAGCAUAUUACCCUUUUAUUAGUAUAGAUAGAGGCCUGGUGCAUGGGUGGAAGCUGGUUGGUUUGUUCUGAAGGAUGUCUUGGAUCAGGGUGGGGGUUCCCGCUGAUGUCCCUGGUCAGCCUGGGUUAGGGGCUGAUGGAUGAUUUCAGGCUGGCCGCACCCCCUUCAGGAUGAGGGUCCCUAUUGGGGUGCCUGGCCAGCUUGGGUAAGGGGCUGAGGGCCAUUUUCAG